rnacentral:rRNA from 1 species
UACAGAGGGGGCAAGCGUUGUUCGGAAUUACUGGGCGUAAAGGGCGUGUAGGCGGCCCGCUAAGUCGAACGUGAAAUCCCCAGGCUCAACCUGGGAACUGCGUCCGAUACUGGCAGGCUUGAAUCCGGGAGAGGGAUGUGGAAUUCCAGGUGUAGCGGUGAAAUGCGUAGACAUCUGGAGGAACACCGGUGGCGAAGGCGGCAUCCUGGACCGGUAUUGACGCUGAGGCGCGAAAGCUAGGGGAGCAAACGGG